UGAAACCGUGUACGUACAAGCAGUGGGAGCCUCUUUAUGGGGUGACUGCGUACCUUUUGUAUAAUGGGUCAGCGACUUAUAUUCUGUAGCAAGGUUAACCGAAUAGGGGAGCCGAAGGGAAACCGAGUCUUAACUGGGCGUUAAGUUGCAGGGUAUAGACCCGAAACCCGGUGAUCUAGCCAUGGGCAGGUUGAAGGUUGGGUAACACUAACUGGAGGACCGAACCGACUAAUGUUGAAAAAUUAGCGGAUGACUUGUGGCUGGGGGUGAAAGGCCAAUCAAACCGGGAGAUAGCUGGUUCUCCCCGAAAGCUAUUUAGGUAGCGCCUCGUGAAUUCAUCUCCGGGGGUAGAGCACUGUUUCGGCAAGGGGGUCAUCCCGACUUACCAACCCGAUGCAAACUGCGAAUACCGGAGAAUGUUAUCACGGGAGACACACGGCGGGUGCUAACGUCCGUCGUGAAGAGGGAAACAACCCAGACCGCCAGCUAAGGUCCCAAAGUCAUGGUUAAGUGGGAAACGAUGUGGGAAGGCCCAGACAGCCAGGAUGUUGGCUUAGAAGCAGCCAUCAUUUAAAGAAAGCGUAAUAGCUCACUGGUCGAGUCGGCCUGCGCGGAAGAUGUAACGGGGCUAAACCAUG
rnacentral:rRNA from 1 species